CAGAAUUUUAAAUAAGAGUAAAAAUUCUAGACUAGCUGUUGCUGGGCACCAGAGCUACAAACUUACAUGGGGUUAUGAUCAGUGCAAGCUAAGUAAUGGGGCAGCACAAAACAGAAGUUUAUGAAAUGAGUAAGCUGAGGAAGAGGAGAGGAGAAAGAGAGGAAGAGCAAGAGAGAAAAGGGGAGAGGGUGAGACAAAGGAAGGAGGGAAGGGAAAAGCAGGGGGAGAGAAAUGGGUCCGGAGUGGGGGAAUGAAGAGUAAGUGUGUGCAGAGAAAGUGAAAGAGUUUAGUUGGUUAUAGUGCUCCCCGCCAAGGUAUGUUCACCCAGAACCUCGGAAUAAGACCUUAUUUGGUGCACACUUACUAAGAACCAGGAAGAAAAAAAAGAAAAUAACAAAUUUAAAAAGAAAAAGAAAAAAUACCUUAUUGGAGAAAAAGGUCUUGGCAGAUGUAAUUGAGUUAAAGAUCUAGAGAUGAGAUAAUCCUGGAUUUAGGGUGGGCCCUAAAUCCAAUGACUGGUGUCUUCAUAUGGGAAAGGACGGAGACAUGACACCCAGAGACACAGCGGCGGGGCCAUGUAAAGAUGGAGGCAGAGAUUGGAGUAAUGUGGCCACAAGCCAAGAAAUGCCAAGGAUUGCUGAAGCCACCGGAAGCUGGGGGAGGCAGGGGAUGGAGGCUGCUUUCUCAGAGCCUCCAGAAGGAACCAACCCAGCCAAUACCUUCAUUUUGGACUUCAGGCCUCCAGAACUGUGAGAAAACAAACUUCUGUUGUUUGAAGCCACCCAGUUUGUGGUGACUUGCUAUGGCAGCCCUAGGAAUCUAUUUCAUCCUAAGAGAGAGGGAAAGGACAAGAGGAGGAGGAGGGAGGGCAAGGGAAGAAAGCAAAAGUGAAAGCAGGAAGGAAGAGGAGAGAGAAAAUCGAAGCAGAGGCACAGAGAGAGGUGCAGUACCAAGUGCUGUACAGGCAUUGUCUUCGCGGAUGCACCUGCUGCGACCUCACAUUAAAAGGAGAAACGGACGCUGAUCAGGGAGGAAAAGACCCUGCCCGAGGACCCUGGAAGGUGAGAGCCAGGCUCAGAAUGUGACCCCAAGGGCUGCCCUUUACCCCCUGUGCUCUGCUGCCUCUCUGUGUGCAUGCCUUGAAUGAGGAUGAUCCUCGACUCCAAUGUGUUUCCACAUACUCAAUUGUUAGUGAAAUAACAGAUUUUUAUAAGCUGUUAGCUGGGAAAAUGAGGAACUGAAUGGUUCUUCCCUGGGCUUCUCAGCCCCAGGAGUUCUCUUCCGUUCAUAGCAACUACACCCAGCUGUCUCCAUGAGGAGCGCUAAGGAGGGGUGAAGGGAAACAGUGGGAAGGAGGAGGUUUAAAUGCACUCUGAUGGGAAUGUCUGGGAAACAAAGCCCAGGCAUGAGCUUACUUCUUUACUUCCUUUCUGCUCUUCCCCCGGACUUUUUUGGGUCUGUAUUAGAGCUCAUCCCAGUUGCCCUGAGUCUCCCUGCCAACCUGGGACACCCCCAUCCCAGCCUUGCCCAGGCUGCCAUUAGCGUCACAGAUGGUGUGGGGCCCUGGGAGAGUCAACUUCCCCUCUCUGGGCCUCACUGUCCUCAUCUCACAAAUCAAGACAAUAAUAAUAUCUACCUUAAAAUCAUACCUUAAAUAUGUGCAGUGUACCGUAUGUCAAGUACACUUUAAUCAAGAGGUUUUCAAAAGCACAGCACUCUGUGGUUUAGGGGUGCCUGCUUAGGUGUCUUCAACAAAGCAAGGAAGCUAUUACCAACUGGGAGGGAAGAGGUGGUGGCCUGGACAGGAUGUGAGGCCCCUGGGAUAUGGACAACUUACCUGGACCUGGGCAGUGAGGAAGCAGAUGUUAGUUGAUAAUACUUUGUUAAACUCUACAUUUAUGCUUUUGGUGUUUGUGAAUACAAAUUUUUUGUUUUUUGUUUUUUGUUUUUUUGAGAUGGAGUUUCACUCUUGUUGCUCAGGCUGGAGUGCAAUGGCGUGAUCUCGGCUCACUGCAACCUCCGCCUCCCGGGUUCAAGUGAUUCUCUUGCCUCAGCCUCCCAAGUAGCUGGGAUUACAGGUGCACACCACCACUCCCAGCUAAUUUUUUUUUUGUAUUUUUAGUAGAGAUGGGGUUUCUCCAUGUUGGUCAGGCUGGUCUUGAACUCCUGACCUCAGGUGGUCUGCCCACCUCGGUCUCCCAAAGUGCUAGGAUUACAGGUGUGAGCCACUGCACCUGGCUGAAUACAAAUGUUAUAUUUCACAACUUUGGAAAUGUUCAAAAAUAAUACAGUUUACCUCCCGGGGUGGUUGGUGCAUUCUUUCAGACAUGCAUCCAGUGCCCUUGCACCUAGUAGGUGCUCAAAGAACAGGGUUGGGGUGGCUCUUCCCUGGUCGUUAUUCAGCCAAGGGAGAGCUCAGUGGUUGGUAAGGCUCAGAACCCCAAGAAGAACAUUAAAGAGAAGAGGGAGUGGCAGUCGGCAGUGGAGUGAGGAAGAGAUAGAUAAGUUAUUGCCAAAUUCAUGGGAAAGUGAGAAAUUUAUUAAGAAUCAUCUGCAUCCCAGGCCAGCGUAGUUUCAGAAAGGAGCUUUGCUAAUGGUUUUUAAAUUCCUUGUUUGUUCAUUCAUGCAAGAAAUAUAUAUUGAGCACCUGCCAUGUGGCAGGCACUGCACUGGCUGAGGGAAUACUGGGAGGACAGAGUCCCUUCUCUCAGGGCUUACAGACUGCCAGAGAAGUGCACAUUUAAUGGGGUGGACUCCAUCCGCUGGGCUAAGAACAAGGCUGCAGAAAUAGAGUGUGGCUGAGCCCCUAAGGGAGUCCUUCUGCCCAGUGGGUUUUUUUUUCAUUUGGGGGACUGGUAAUUGUCAGAGAAGUCUUUCUGAAAGAAGUCACACGUAAACUGAGCCCCAGAGUUAGUUGAAUCUAGCAUAUUCCAGGCAGAGCAACAGUACAUGCAAAAGCCCAGAGGUGAGAAAGAGAGGGUGGUGACUUUGAGGAACUAUAGAAAUAUUUGCAUGGCUAGAGUGCAGAGAGAGAGAGAGAAGGAGAGACCAGUGAGGUAAGCCAAGGUCAGUUCACAAAGGGCCUUCUGUGCCCGGAUAAGGAGUCUGGCUGCACUCCUAAAAGCAAUGGAGAGCCACUGAAGGAUGGCAAGCAGGGAGGGGUGCUAUAUUGUCCCAAGCUUCCUUUUAGAAGUACGUGGUGACUGCCAUGUCUGUUAGAAAUGGAUGGUUACCCUGGGUGAGCAAUGCCAGCCUCCCCUUCUGGAACAAGAGCUGCAUGGGGGCCACUAGAACAAAAUGCCUGAGGCUGAGUAAUUUAUAAAGAACAGAAAUUUAUUUCUCAGAGUUCUGGAGGCUGGAAGUCCAAGAUCAAGGCAGGUUCGAUGUCUGGUGAGGCCUGGCCUCUGCUUCCAAGAUGGCACCUUGUUGCUUCUUCCUCCAGAGGGAACAAAGGCUGUGUCCUCACAUGAAGGGCAAAAUGGGCCUAGGGAAUUCUUCCCAGCCAUUUUAUAAGGGCAUUAAUCCCAUUCACAAGGGCUCUACCCUCACGACUUAAUCACAUCCUAAAGACGCCACCUAAUAAUAUCAUCACAUUGUCGAUUAAGUUUUAACAUAUGGGCCGGGUGUGGUGGCUCACGCCUAUAAUCCCAGUACUUUGGAAGGCCAAGGCAGGCGGAUCACUUCAGGUCAGGAGUUUGAGACCAGCCUGGCCAACAUAGUGAAACCCUGUCUCUACUAAAAAUACAAAAAUUAGCCAGGCGUGGAGGUGGGCAUCUGUAAUCCCAGCUACUUGGGAGGCUGAGGGAGGAGAAUCGCUUGAACCUGGGAGGCAGAGGUUGCAGUGAGCUGAGAUUGUGCCAUUUGCACUCCAGACUGGGCAGCAGAGUGAGACUCCACAAAAAAAAGAAACUUUCAACCCAGGAGUUUUGGAGAGCACAUGCAGACCACAGCACUGCCCAACUCAGAAAAACAAGAAUCCUGAUUGUCAGGGAACCAUGGAUGAAAGCCUCACAGGGACAGGGAUGCUCGGGCUUGCUGCAUGGAGCUCUCUUCAGGGCCAGGGCCAGGGCCUUGCAUAGAACAAGAACUCCAAGCUUGCAGAUGAGCUAGCGAGGCUGCUUCUGUCUAGCUUUACUUUUCCUUAAUUUCUAGGACUGUAAUUGGCUGAGCAAUUAAGACUUGUAUUUACGGGCGGGUGUGGUGGCUCACGCCUGUAAUCCCAGCACUUUGGGAGGCAGAGGCAGGCAGAUCACGAGGUCAGGAGUUCAAGACCAGCCUGACCAACAUGGUGAAACCCCAUCUCUACUAAAAAUACAAAAAUUAGCCAGGUGUGGUGGCGUGCACCUAUAAUCCCAGCUACUCGGGAGGCUGAGGCAGAAGAAUCGCUUGAACCUGGGAGGCAGAGGUUGCAGUGAGCCGAGAUCGCACCACUGAACUCCAGCCUGGGCCACAGAGCAAGACCCCAUCUCAAACAAACAAACAAACAAACAAACAAAAACUUGUAUUUACACAGAACACUCUGCCUUAUGGAAACCCGAAACUCUUAAGUGUCUAUUUGAUUUGUGGCCAGCAUUCAACUUUCAGUCUGAUGAAAGGCUCACUUCUCAAACGGAAUAUAUCUUAUUUGUUUGUUUGGGUGACAUUAGUGAGAAUCAGGGUCCCAUGGGGAAAAAUGGAGAUUCACAGGAUCUACCUUCUCCUCUAGAAAUGUUGAUUCAGUAUGUGUAUCAGCUGGCACUUGCUUGGUUAUACUGCAGUAACAAAUGAUUCCUCAAAUCUCAGUGGCGUAUAAUGAAAAAAAGGUUUGUUUUCUACUGACAUUUCAUAUUGGCUGUGUAUCAGAUCUGCCACACUUUCUUCAUUUAAGGACUCACACAGAAGGAACAGCCCCAUAGGGGACAUACACUUGCAUCAGAGAUGUAUCAUCAGGCUGGGUGUGGUGGCUCACGCCUGUAAUCCCAGCACUUUGGGAGGCCGAGGCAGGUAGAUCACCUGAGGUGAGGAGUUCAAAACCAGCCUGGCCAAUAUGGUGAAAUCCUGUCUCUACCAAACAAAAAAAAAAAAAAUUAGCCAGGCAUGGUGGUGCACGACUGUAGUCACAGCUACUUGGGAGGCUGAGGCAGGAGAAUCACUUGAACCUGGGAGGUGGAGGUUGCAGUGGGCCCAGAUAGUGCCACUGUACUCCAGCCUGGGUGUUAAAGUGAGACUCCUCCUCAAAAAAAACCAAAAACAAAAAAAACAAAAAAACCCCAUGUAUCAUUGUCUUAUAGGAAAGAAGGAGCAAAUGACUGGGAACUGUAAUACUGUUUACCAUAAGAGGUCUGGGGUGGGGCCCAGGGUUAUAAGGCUAUGCAUUUUUAAAAUUUUUUUCUAAGUUUUUUUUAUAGAGAUGAAGUCUUGCUACAUUGCCCAGGCUGGACUCGAACUCCUGGGCUCAAGCAAUCCUCAUGCCUCGGCCUCUCAAAAUGCUGGGAUUACAGGAGUGAGCCACUGCACUCAGCCAAGGGCUACACAUUUUUAACAAUAUAUGCAGGUGAGUCUGUUGCAGGAGGUCUGAGGGCCAUGUGUUCAGAUAAAGAAAGGCAUUGGUCUGGACUGGUUUCUCCAUGGGCAAAUUCAGGCAGUUUUCAGCCUCUCUAUUUGACACCUAAAUCUUCACUUUCAAUGCUCUUUCUCCUUGACGAGGUCUCCUCUCAGAAGCCUUCAGAGCCUGAGUGCUCCACAGUUGAGCCUUGAGUCCCGUAUCUCUCCCCUAUACCUCCAGCUCUGUUUUCCACUAGAGAACACAAAUAAAUCUGGUUUUCAAAAAACAAUGAAUGUAAAUGGGCAUGCAUACGUUUAUGUGUUUACCCUGCCUGAGUACGUAUUUGCAUUUUAACCAGACUGUUUUCAUGACCCAGAAUUCAUUGCAUGAUGAGCAUUUCAGGCACUGUAACUAGUUGUAAUGGAGGGUAGUAUUAGAAUGUGUAUUCUCCCUCCACCCUCCCAGCUGAUGGGCCAUCUCUCUGCUCCUUCUUGCUUAUCUCUGGUACUGCACUUGCCACUUGAUGUUAUAAUGGUCUAUACAUUUGUCUCCCUUAUGAGGUUCUUAAGGGCGGAAGCUUUGAGUUCUUUUUUCAGUCUCCUGCAUCAAACAUGUUUGAUGAGUGAAUACGUAUUUGUCAUUUGGGUAUUAUUGCAACCCACUCUUGGACCAUUUGAAAACUUGGAUUUUUUUUUUUUUUUUUUUUUUUUUGCUCAUUUCCUGACACUUCUUCCUGGUUGCUUAAAACUGCUCUGGUCAAUAUGGUAACCAUCAGCCACAUAUGCCUCUGAGCAAUUGAAAUGUGGCUCGUCUGAACUGACAUGUAAAAUAUUAGAUGUAAAAUAUUGGGUUUCAGAGACUUAGAAUGAAAAAAGUGUAAAAUGU
rnacentral:lncRNA from 1 species